CCGACGCAUAUUUUAAUUGACAAGGGGAUCCACGCAUAUUUACCCCCAAAUCGAAGCCCACUAUUCACACUUCACCUUCGAUUAAUCUUCAAAACCCACCUCUAGCGAUUGUGUCUUCUCCUCCGCCCACCUCUCUCGAAGCCCCCCUCUCACUGUCUCUCUCGUUAGGUUCUUCACAGGUACAUCCGCAUCUGUCUCCCUCUCUAUCUCUCUCUCUCUCUCUCUCUCUCUCUCUCUCUCUCUCUCUCUCUCUCUCUCUCUCUCUCUCUCUCUCUCGUCGCCAACUGUACCCUGAGAACGUCAUCGGUCCCUAAGCCAAGAAUGGAAGAGAACAUCAAAACACCGACCAGGUUUCCCUUUUAACCAAAAUGACAAUUGGUUAGCCACUACCAGUACGAAUUCAUUGUUUGUUGUGGUCUUGUCUUUUGUGUCUUUGAUUCCCCAUCUCUCCAUCGCAAGGUCUUCCUUUGUCGACUUGGUUCAUUACAGUGCCCUAGCCAGGUUUCGUGAUGAUUUUGCUUUUAUCCGUAGAAGACAGAAAUAUCGAAAUAAGAAACUCUGGGGUGUUGUGAAGCCACUGAAAUCCUUGCAGCCUUAUGCCAACCCUAGAAACAACUACGUAGAUCUGUGAUCUGAUCAUCAUAUUCAGGCUUUUAAAUGCUACUUUUGUCAUUCCAGAGAUUCAAGAGACUACACGCUCAAAAGGUGUCAGAAUGAAGUGAGUGAGACUUACACUGGUGAUGGCUCUGUUGAUGCAAAAGGAAAGCCAGCAGUGAAGCAAAAUACUGAAUAUUGGAGAGCAUGUUGGUUCAUUAUAGGUACUUUAUUUUGUAUAAAAUAAUCGUGAAUUGAUUAAUGUUCUUGACUAUAUGUAAUUAUAUAACACAAGUGUUGAAUGUUGUGAAGGCUUGUCCUUCUUUGGGCCUUUAUGUUCAUUCUGUCAAUAGUGAUGAUGACACUCUACCCAAUUCUCAUAGAUUUAAUUUUUAAAAACUGUAUCUAAAAAUGUUGUCAUCUAUUAAAUUUAUUCAUGUUUAA